CAUAAUCAGAGCUGUAUGUCACUUUUGUAACUUCUGAAAAUGUUGAUCAACUUGUGUUGCGUUCCUCCUUCCUGACAGCAAAAUCAAAACAUGAGUUUUUUCAUUAAGUUCUCUUAUCAAAGACCCAUUUCUUUUACUUUCUCUGAAUCUGGACACAUUGAUGCAUUUCUGCAUGACAUGACUCUUUUGGAAUGUUCACUGAAUUCAUGAAUCAUUUCACAGAAUACUAUUUUUGGAUGAAGGUCUGGAACGGAUAUUAUGCAAACCCUACAACUCUACUGGUGCACGCUGCCUUGCAGGGAAUGAAGUUACGCCAUCAAAAUAUUCAGACAAAUAUUGACAACUAGCUGUGCAAACUGAGCGUUUCCUCUGUGAACUGUGAAUCUGGGGCCCCUUCAGGGACUCAUGACUGCGAGUUUCAUACAGUU
rnacentral:lncRNA from 1 species